UACGUAGGGUGCAAGCGUUGUCCGGAAUUAUUGGGCGUAAAGAGCUCGUAGGCGGCCUGUCGCGUCGGAUGUGAAAAUCCAGGGCUCAACCCUGGACCUGCAUUCGAUACGGGCAGACUAGAGUUCGGCAGGGGAGACUGGAAUUCCUGGUGUAGCGGUGAAAUGCGCAGAUAUCAGGAGGAACACCGGUGGCGAAGGCGGGUCUCUGGGCCGAUACUGACGCUGAGGAGCGAAAGCGUGGGGAGCGAACAGG
rnacentral:rRNA from 1 species